GGCCCUUCGGGGUACUCGAGCGGCGAACGGGUGAGUAACACGUGAGUAAUCUGCCCCAGGCUCUGGGAUAGCCACCGGAAACGGUGAUUAAUACCGGAUACGACAACUUCCUGCAUGGGAUGGUUGUGGAAAGUUUUUCGGCCUGGGAUGUGCUCGCGGCCUAUCAGCUUGUUGGUGAGGUAAUGGCUCACCAAGGCUUCGACGGGUAGCCGGCCUGAGAGGGUGACCGGCCACACUGGGACUGAGACACGGCCCAGACUCCUACGGGAGGCAGCAGUGGGGAAUAUUGGACAAUGGGCGGAAGCCUGAUCCAGCAACGCCGCGUGAGGGAUGACGGCCUUCGGGUUGUAAACCUCUUUCAGCACAGACGAAGCGCAAGUGACGGUAUGUGCAGAAGAAGGACCGGCCAACUACGUGCCAGCAGCCGCGGUAAUACGUAGGGUCCGAGCGUUGUCCGGAAUUAUUGGGCGUAAAGGGCUCGUAGGCGGUCUGUCGCGUCGGGAGUGAAAACCAGGUGCUUAACACCUGGCCUGCUUCCGAUACGGGCAGACUAGAGGUACUCAGGGGAGAAUGGAAUUCCUGGUGUAGCGGUGAAAUGCGCAGAUAUCAGGAGGAACACCGGUGGCGAAGGCGGUUCUCUGGGAGUAUCCUGACGCUGAGGAGCGAAAGUGUGGGGAGCGAACAGGAUUAGAUACCCUGGUAGUCCACACCGUAAACGUUGGGCGCUAGGUGUGGGACACAUUCCACGUGUUCCGUGCCGCAGCUAACGCA
rnacentral:rRNA from 1 species